AUGAUGCUACCCGUGCUGCUGCUGCUUGGUCUCUUCUGCCUGGCCGCGGCCGAACCCGCCAUCUACUUAAAGGAGCAGUUUCUGGACGGAGACGGGUGGACCGACCGCUGGAUUGAAUCCAAACACAAGUCAGAUUUUGGUAAAUUUGUCCUCAGUUCCGGCAAGUUCUACGGUGACCAGGAGAAGGAUAAAGGGCUGCAGACAAGCCAGGAUGCCCGCUUUUACACUUUGUUGGCCAGAUUUGAGCCUUUCAGCAACAAGGGCCAGACACUGGUGGUGCAGUUCACCGUGAAACACGAGCAGAACAUCGAUUGUGGGGGCGGCUACGUGAAGCUCUUUCCAGAUGGUCUGGACCAGACCGACAUGCACCGAGACUCUGAAUACAACAUCAUGUUCGGCCCCAAUAUCUGUGGCCCCGGCACCAAGAAGGUUCACGUCAUCUUGAACUACAAGGGCAAGAACGUGCUGAUCAACAAGGAUAUUCAUUGCAAGGAUGAUGGAUUCACACACCUGUAUACCCUGAUUGUCGGCCAGAUAACACUUAUGAGGUGAAAAUUGACAACAGCCAGGUGGAAUCAGGCUCCUUGGAGGAUGAUUGGGACUUCCUCCCUCCCAAGAAGAUAAAGGAUCCUGAUGCUUCGAAGCCUGAAGACUGGGAUGAGCGGGCCAAGAUUGAUGACCCCACAGACUCUAAGCCUGAGGACUGGGACAAGCCCAAGCACAUCCCUGACCCCGAUGCGAAAAAGCCAGAGGACUGGGAUGAAGAGAUGGAUGGAGAGUGGGAACCACCUGUGAUUCAGAACCCUGAGUAUAAGGGCAAAUGGAAGCCCUGGCAGAUGGACAACCCAGAUUACAAGGGCACUUGGAUCCACCCAGAGAUUGACAACCCUGAGUACUCCCCUGAUAGCAACAUCUAUGCCUAUGAAAACUUUGCUGUUCUGGGCUUAGAUCCCUGGCAGGUCAAGUCUGGCACCAUCUUUGACAACUUCCUCAUCACCAACGACGAGGCACAUAUGCAGAGGAGUUUGGAAACGAGACCUGGGGUGUCACGAAGGCAGCUGAAAAGCAGAUGAAGGACAAGCAGGACGAGGAGCAGAGGCUAAAGGAGAAGGAGGAGGACAAGAAGCGCAAGGAAGAAGAGGAGGCAGACAAGGAUGAUGAGGAAGAUAAGGACGAACAUGAGGAGGACGAGGAUGACAAGGAGGAAGAGGAAGAGGAAGAUGCUGCCACUGGCCAGGCCAAGGAUGAGCUGUAGGGGCCAUGCCGCUGCCUCCAGGGCUGGACUGAGGCCUGAGCGCUCCCACCGCAGAGCCAGCUGUGCCAAAUAAUGUCUCUAUGAGACUGGAGAACUUUUCAUUUUUUUUCCAGGCAGGUUCUGAUUUGGGGUGGAUUUUGGUUUUGUUUCCUUCCCUCCUUUUUCCCUUUUUUUUUUUUCUAAACUGGUGUUUUGUCUUUGAUUCUCCUUUAGUCCUUAUUCCUGACCUCAUCUUUCUUGAUUGACAUCUUUGCCUUCCUCUGUCCCUUUCUCUCCCCCAAUCCCUUAGUUUCCCUCCAACCUGAGGGGGCAGAGGAGUGUGGAAGAGAAGUCCCAGGCCCAAGAUUCCAUCUGCUUUCCUUCCUGGAUCCCAGAGGGGGGCUGGAGAAGAGGGGGACUGGAGAAGAGGGUGGCAUCCCCAACCCCCAGCACUGAGGAAGAACAGGGUUCCUAGGGCCUGAACUCUGACCCCCACCCACCACCUCCCUUUUCCCCCGCUCCCAGGACUGGGCCACUUCUGGGUGGGGCAGUGGGUUUCAGCUUGGCUCACACUGAGAGUGUAAGGACUACAAACAAAAUUUCUAUUAAAUUAAGUUUUGUGUCUU